GAUGAAGAACGUAGCGAAAUGCGAUAAGUAGUGUGAAUUGCAGAAUUCAGUGAAUCAUCGAAUCUUUGAACGCACAUUGCGCCCCUUGGGAUUCCAUGGGGCAUGCCUGUUCGUGCGUCAUUUGUACCUUCAAGCUUUGCUUGGUGUUGGGUGUUUGUCUCGCCUUUGCGUGUAGACUCGCCUUAAAAUAAUUGGCAGCCGGCGUAUUGAUUUCGGAGCGCAGUACAUCUCGCGCUUUGCACUCAUAACGACAGCGUCCAAAAGUACAUUUUACACUCUUGACCUCGGAUCAGGUAGGGAUACCCGCUGAACUUAAGCAUAUCAAUAAGCGGAGGA
rnacentral:misc_RNA from 1 species